UCUUAGUACCUGGAGGAAAAGAAAAUAAGAAUGAUUCCCUCAGUAGCGGCGAGCGAACGGGGAAGAGCCCAAACCAGCUUUAGGGCUGGGGUAGUAGGACCACAAGGUGGUACGUUGACCGAUAGAAGAAGGACAUUGAAAGGUCCGCCAAAGAGGGUGCAAGCCCCGUAAUCGAAAUUGGAAGACGACCUAGUGGAAUCCUGAGUACGGCGAGGCACGUGGAACCUUGUCGGAAGCAUCCGGGACCAUCCGGAAAGGCUAAAUACUCCUACAUGACCGAUAGUGAACCAGUACCGUGAGGGAAAGGUGAAAAGAACCGCGGGAGCGGAGUGAAAUAGAACCUGAAACCAUAUGCUUACAAGAAGACAGAGCCCGUUAAGGGGUGAUGUCGUGCCUUUUGUAGAAUGAACCGGCGAGUUAUGUUAUCGUGCAAGGUUAAGUGGAAGACACGGAGCCGAAGCGAAAGCGAGUCUGAAGAGGGCGAGAGUACGAUGAGAUAGACCCGAAGCCGUAGUGAUCUAGCCAUGACCAGGUUGAAGGUUGGGUGAAACCAACUGGAGGACCGAACCGACCCCCGUUGAAAAGUUGGCGGAUGAGUUGUGGCUAGCGGAGAAAUUCCAAUCGAACACGGCGAUAGCUGGUUCUCCCCGAAAUAGCUUUAGGGCUAGCGUCGAAGUAAGGGUAGUGGAGGUAGAGCACUGAAUUCAUGAUGGCGCCGUCAAGGUGUACUGAAUGAAAUCAAACUCCGAAUGCCAUUAUACCAUCUUCGGCAGUCAGACUGUGGGUGAUAAGGUCCAUGGUCAAAAGGGAAACAGCCCAGAUCAUCAGUUAAGGUCCCAAAAUUACUGCUAAGUGGAAAAGGAUGUGGGGAUGCACAGACAACUAGGAGGUUGGCUUAGAAGCAGCCACCCUUGAAAGAGUGCGUAACAGCUCACUAGUCGAGUGACCCUGCGCCGAAAAUUAACCGGGGCUAAGCAGUAUACCGAAACUAUGGCAAUGACUUCGGUCAUUGGGUAGGGGAGCGUUCCAUGGGCAUAGAAGCCGUACCGUAAGGAGCGGUGGAGCGCAUGGAAGUGAGAAUGCCGGUGUGAGUAGCGAGAUGCAGGUGAGAAUCCUGCACACCGAUAGACCAAGGAUUCCAGGGGAAGGUUCGUCCGCCCUGGGUAAGUCGGGACCUAAGGCGAGGCUGAAAAGCGUAGUCGAUGGAAAACAGGUUGAUAUUCCUGUACCCGCGCAUUGAGUGAUGGAGUGACAAAGAAGGCUAACCGGACCGGUAAAUGGAUUCCGGAUCAAGCGAGGUAGGAGGCAGUCAGGCAAAUCCGGCUGUCAAUCUGAAGGCGUGAUGAGGAGCGAAC
rnacentral:rRNA from 1 species